rnacentral:tRNA from 1 species
GGGUAUAGCUCAGUGGUAGAGUGCAUGCUUAGCAUGCACAAGGUCUUGGGUUCAAUCCCUAGUACCUCCA